rnacentral:lncRNA from 1 species
UUUGGGGGUCCCCAGGUGAAUUUUGGGGGAUUUUUGGGGUCCCACCUGGUCCUGGUCCCACCUGGGGGGUCUCAGGUGGGAUUUGGGGUCCCCCAGGUGGAUUUUGGGGUCCCUCAGGUGGAUUUUGGGGUCCCCCAGGUGGAUUUUUGGGGUCCCCCAGGUGGAUUUUGGGGUCCCUCCGGUGAUUUUUGGGGUCCCUCAGGUGGGAUUUGGGGUCCCUCAGGUGAUUUUUGGGGUCCCCCAGGUGGAUUUUGAGGGUUCCCAGGUGAUUUUUGGGGUCCCUCAGGUGGGAUUUGGGGUCCCGCCCCCGUCACACCUGGGGGGGGUCGCUGGCUCCUCCUGUGGGGGGAGAGAGAGAGAAAAAAGGGGCUGGAGACCCCCCAAAAAAUCCCCAAAAUCCUUCAGGUGA